AAUUCAAGUCCCUCUAUCCCCA
rnacentral:tRNA from 2 species